UACAGAGGGGGGCAAGCGUUGUCCGGAUUUAUUGGGCGUAAAGAGCUCGUAGGCGGCUUGUUGCGUCGACUGUGAAAUCCCGCGGCUUAACUGCGGGCUUGCAGUUGAUACGGGCAGGCUGGAGUUCGGUAGGGGAGACUGGAAUUCCAGGUGUAGCGGUGAAAUGCGUAGAUAUCUGGAGGAAUACCGGUGGCGAAGGCGGCAUCCUGGACCGACAUUGACGCUGAUGAGCGAAAGCUAGGGGAGCAAACGGG
rnacentral:rRNA from 1 species